rnacentral:lncRNA from 1 species
CAAAUGGAUUUGUAGAUGUCUCUAGUUGAUUUCCCACAGACGGCGCCAAUUGUGGGGGUUCUUUUUGUAAGAUUAAGAUAGAGAGAGAUAGAAAGGAAAUCAAAAAUAUUACAUCUCGACGGCGAACGGCGUUAAUGUCGGCAUGCGGACCUGCUUGCAAACACAGGAGAGAUGAAGAACAGGGGCCGUCGGAGCUCUCGACGACCCUCCGGACGGUCAAGGUAGAAGACCGGGAGAUAAUAUGUAUAUCAAGAGUAAAGAUAAAGAGUAAUGUAUUCUCAAACUUAGUAUGCCGUGUAGAGAGAGAAAGUGUAUGUAGUUCUUCUAGAUCCAAUUGCAUACCUUGGUGAGAGCAAAAACUCUCCUUUCUAUAGCCUAGCUCAAAGGGUAGGCUACUGACCUAGCCAUGCCCAAGGCUGGUUGGUAGGUUGUCAUCAGGUCUCUGAUUUCAAGACAUGGAGCUGUUCAAAGGAAGACUUUUCGUGCAAAGCACCUCUUGUCCCUGACAUGCUUGGCGACGCUUCACAUGUCACAUCUCGACCUAGCUCAAGCAUCUCGGUCAGCGUCUCAACCUAACUCACGGUGUCUCGACCUAGAUCAGGCGUCUCAACCUAGAUCAGGAACCCGGUCAAGCGUUCCGACCUAGCCAAGCGUCUCGACCUAGCUCAAGUGUCUCGACCUAGCUCAUGCAUCUCGGUCAGGCGUCUCGACCUAGCUCAGGCAUCUUGACCUAGCUCAAGCAUCUCGGUCAGGCGUCUCGACCUAGCUCAGGCAUCUCGCCUAGCUCAGGCACCGCGGUCAGGCGUCUUGACCUAGCUCAAGCGUCUCGACCUAGCUCAUGCAUCUCGGUCAGGCGUCUCGACCUAGAUCAAGCGUCUCGACCUAGCUCAGGCAUCUCGAUCUAACUCAGGCGUUCUCGACUUAGCUCAGGCAUCUCGACCUAGCUCAAGCGUCUCGACCUAGCUCAGGCAUUUCGACCUAGCUCAUGCAUCUCGACCUAGCUCAGGCGUUCUCGACCUAGCUCAGGCGUCUUGACCUAGCUCGGCUAGAGCUAGUACUUGAUAUUUUAUUCCCUUACAGUUGCCCCUCAGUUCGCAUGAAUUGGAUCAAUGCUUAUCGAGGUCAUGUGAGCUGGAUAUUCAACAUAAAAUCUUCAUCGGGAGAGCUCGGAGCUGGGAGAGCUUGCUUCAAAUGAACAACUUUCAUGGGGGAGAGCUUGAUACUCACAGGGGCUCGGGAAGCUCUCUCUCAAUGAAAAACCUUCGUCGGGAAAGCUCAGAGCUGGGGGAGCUUGGAGAGCUCUCUCCAAAUAGACAACCUUCGUGGAGGGAGAGCUUGGGGAGCUCUCUCCAAAUGGAUUUUGUAGAUGUCUAUAGUUGAUUUCCCACAGACGGCGCCAAUUGUGGGGGUUCUUUUUGUAAGAUAAGAGAGAUAUAGGAAGAAAUCAAAAAUAGACAUCUUCGACGGCGAACGGUGUUUAACUGUCGGCAUGCUGGACCCUAGCAUACAAUACAGGGAGCUGAGAAACAGGCCGUCGGAAGCUCUCGACGACCCUAGACGGUCAAGUUUAGAAGACAGGAGAUAAUGUAUAUCAAGUGUUAAAAGAUAAAGCGUAAUGUAUUCUUAAACUUAGUAUUGCCGUGGAGAGAGAGAAAGUGUAUGUAUGUUCUCUAGAUCCAAUUGCGUACCUUGGUGAGAGCAACAACUAUCCUUUAUAGCCUAGCUCAACAGAAGGCUACGGACCUAGCCAUGCCCCUAAGGCUGGUUGGUAAGGGAGUCAUAUGUCUCUGAUUCAAGCAGGAGCUGUCAGAGGAAGCCUUGUCGUGCAAGGCCACUCUCUUGUCCCUGACAUGCCUUGGGCCAGCAUCACAUUGUCACAUCUCGACUACUCAGCAUCUCAGCAGGCGUCUCGACCUAGCUCAAGCGUCUCAAACUAGCUAAGGCAGCUCGUCAGCGCGUCUGACCUAGACUUAAGCGUCUCGACUAGCUCAAGCAUUUCGACCGAGCUCAUGCAUCUCAGUCAGGCGUCUCGACCUAGAUCAAGCGCUCGACCUAGCUAGCAUCUCGACCUAGCUCAAGAAUCUCGUCGGCGUUCUAGACCUAGCUUCAGGCGUCUCGACUAGCUCAGGCAUCGGUUCAGGCGUCUUGACCUAGUUCAAGCAUCUCGUACCUAGCUCAGGCGUCUCGACUAGCUCAAGCGUCUCGACUAGCUCAGGCAUUUUCGACUAGCUCAGGCCACUCGGUCAGGCGUCUCGACCUAGCCCAAGCAUCUCGACCUUACUCAGGCGAUCUCGAUCUAGCUCAGGCGUUUCUCGACUAGCCAGGGCACUCGAACUGCUCAAGCGUCUGACCAGCUCAGGCAUUUCGACCUAGGCUCAUGCAUCUCAACCUAGCCAGGCGUUCCGACCAGCUCAGCAUCUCGGCAGGAGUUCUUGACCUAGCUCGGCCAGAAGCUUGGGGGGGAUAGUACUUGAUAUUUUAUUCCCUUACAACUAGCAAC